rnacentral:ncRNA from 2 species
CAAAACCCCUUGGGAGAGCCCGGUAACCAUACCGGCGCCGAAGGCGCAAUCCCGCCCGGAAUCGCUCAGGCAAAAGGACCAUGGGGAAUAU